rnacentral:rRNA from 1 species
UAAGACGAACCGUGCGAACGUUAUUCGGAAUCACUGGGCUUAAAGCGCGUGUAGGCGGGGCGGCACGUCGGUCGCUGAAAGCCCCCGGCUCAACCGGGGAACGGGCGCCGAUACGACCGCCCUCGAGGGACGUAGGGGGACCUGGAACUUCCGGUGGAGCGGUGAAAUGCGUUGAGAUCGGAAGGAACGCCCGUGGCGAAAGCGAGGUCCUGGACGUCUGCUGACGCUGAGACGCGAAAGCCAGGGGAGCGAACG